rnacentral:lncRNA from 1 species
GGGCAUUAUGUAAAAAUGUGGAUGUGUAACCGAUGUGAUUCUGCAAUCUGUAUUUGGGGUAAAAUUGGGAGUUCAUAACCAACUUGAAUCUAAUGUAUGAAAUAUGAUAUGUCAAGAGCUUUGUAAUGUUUUGAACAACCAAUAAAAAAAAAUUAAAAAAAAAAGAAAGGAAAAAGGCAAAACAGAAAAUGAUUUAGCAGUUAUGCAAGCCCUUACAAAAGAUAGGAGUUUAGGAGUAUGUUACUGAAAUCCAAACAGGGGAGGCUAUUAGAAUCCAGACAGGUGGGAAGAGCCUUAAGGAGGACAGAAGAGAUGAGGAGUGGUUAGCAGAUUUGGAGAGUAUGGAGAAUUGUCCUGUUGGACAAUUUCCUGUUGGACAGAGGGGAGCAGGUGCUACCCCUAAGUUUGAAGGAACAGUGAGGAAGAGGAGGCUAUCAAUAUAGAGAAGAAAGCUUUCCUUGUAGAAACCUUAAGUAGAGGCACACAGAUAAUCCUUAAGCCCUGGAUGGAGUUCCCACAGCAACCAGACAACCACCUUGUUUUCAAAAAGUGCAUUAUAAUUUUGAUGAGUUCUAUGGAAGGCAAAGACAGAGUGCCAAGAUAGAGAUGUCAGAGUUCUAUACUGACAGCUGUGGCUCAGAGAAAACUUAAGAAGAAAUAUUUAAGCAGAGAUAUGAAAAGAUGAGUAUGAAAUUGGUAGAUGAACUGGGAGGGUCUUCCAGGCAAGGAGAAUAAUACUGUACAGGACCUAUGUGGGAAGGAACAUGAGCUAUUCUAGAAGACAAAAGGCUACAACUUGAGAGAGAAAACAGAAAGUAGUCAUCCCACUGGAGAGUGAUGAGGUUCAAGGCUGGUACAGAGGUAGAAGGAUCAUAGAGCUCUGCAGAAACUUAUGGAUUUUGAACUUCAUCCUGAGACCAGUGAGAUGCCACUCAUGCUUUAACCCCUUAUAAAGGUCAUCUGUCUGCAGUGUGAAGAAUGUAUAAAAGAGGAUAAAAAUGAUCUCCCUAUGGGGCAGGCUGGUAGCUCCCUUGAAUGGAAAUACCAACAUACAUUGGGAAAAGAGCCAUUAUUAUUGGAAGCAAAGACUGACUAAGAUGGAUUCUGCCUUCCAGAAAAGUGGUGUCAUUCAUCCCCGAGGAGGAGAUGACUCCUUUUUUGAGAAAAACACCUUAAUUGUAUAGGCUGUUUCCUCGUUUGGUUGAAAAAGCCCAGAUCCCUGGUCAAGGCUGGAUGUGUAGUUGAGAUAAAAACAAAGCACAACUGUUACAGUGCAUAAUAAAGUGAGAAGAAUUUGGCUUUGCUGCAGGCAGCCUAGGAGAUGGGAUUGGAAAUGAGAAGAGAACAUUGCAAGGAAAAUU